GGAAGUAAAGGUGUUCAAGGAUUCAAGGGUGAACGAGGAGAUCCUGGUCUACCAGGGGACACUGGUACACGUGGUUCAGAUAAUCUCUUUCGAGGAAGGAAGGGUGAUAAAGGACAACGUGGUAUACAGGGUGAAGUUGGAUUAGACGGUGCACCAGGCCAGGCUGGCAAUGAAGGAAAUC